rnacentral:lncRNA from 10 species
AGAGAUGGGAGUUACAAACUGUAAGAGUUAGAGGGAGCCUAGAAACAGGAGAUUUAAUCUUUCAUUUCGACACUUGCAGAAACAGAGCAACAGAUUCAAUUAUGUUUUUUCCUCCUUGACAUUUAGGGAAACAGGAGAAAGCCCCUGCCCAGAAUUGCUUAGCCUUGAGUUAAUUAACUAGUUAAAUAAUUUUACAUUAGAAUGCAAGUUUUGAGUCUCCGUACACAUAGUCCACCUUCCUUUUGCUUGUCCCUGACAUCAUAUUUCAAAAUUCUCCAGUUCCAGCUUACCUUGAAAUGAUGGAACAUCUGAAGAAAUGUUAUCUGUGUUUGGGCUUUGAACUUCACUGUCUUUUGUGCAGCUGAUCAUUCACGCCUUGCCUACUGUCCGUAACACUCCCAAAUUGUUCUCAGCAACAAAGCAAAUGGUCAGAGCAAAGCCAACCAGAUCUAGGCAUACCAGCUGCAGGGUUAUGCCUGAUUCCUGCACAGGUCAUUUAUUUGUUGGCAUUAGCAAGAUUUGAAUUAGACACUGAACUAGGUGAAGACUCAGAUUAUUUAUGAUAACUGUCAACAGUAGCUGCAAGAAGAUGCCAACAGCUGUCAUAAGAAGUGGAGCAGCACUGGAGUUCAGCACUGAACUAAGGUCGGCCCCGCCCUCCGGCACAGCCUGCACCAGCUCAACGGCGUGAAUCAGCCAGGUGUCCUGGAGGGCCUGAGAGGGACCAGGGUGAUGAUGGGAUUCGGAGAAGAAAGUCAGAUUGGAGCAUACUCGCCCCAUGGAGAGGACAAAUUGGAUUCAUGACCAGACCUCUGAGGGGCUGCGUCUCCAGGUAGCUGGUGGGAAGCUGUCUGGAAACAAACAUUUUCCAGCUCGCUCGACCCUCACAUUUCCAGAGCAGAAGUAUGGCACAUCCAUCUUCAAUUAUUUACAGGAAUCUCAUGGCAUCUUGAUUCCCUCAGCUUGUCAAAAAAAAAAAAAAAAAAUUGCACUGAACAGCAAAGAAGACUAUAUUCAAGGUUAGUGCAGUUUGGGAAAGAGACUAUUCAAAUAGGGGAGAGACAUAGAAAUAAACUCUUAAAACAUGGGGGAGAAUUUGUCAGCACUGGGGUGAGCUAGCAGGAAGUACUGGAGGACUUUGGAGGGGAGGGUGGCCACUGUGCUUAAUUGUCUGUGUUUGUUAAUUAGCAUUUAUUAAAGUUAGGCUCCUACCCUGCCAUGUAGGCAGAGAUACAUACGCAGAGAUACAUGACAUGCAUUUGUGCACACACAGAUACAUACAUGAACACACUGACAUAUAUGUACAGACAUACACAGAUACACACACAGACCCCCAGAC